UAUUAGUUUAUUGGUUAGAGUGUCAGCCUCAGAUGCGGGAGGUCGUGGGUUCAAUCUCCAGCAGUGUCAU